CAAACAGUUGUGCUGGAUGGAGAGUCAUCAGACGUUGCUCCAGUUACUUCUGGUGUCCCACAGGGAACAGUUCUGGGUCCAGUUCUUUUUCUGGUUUACAUAAACGACCUACCAGAAUAUUUGAAAACCAGUAAACUCAGACUGUUCGCCGACGACAGCAUCAUUUACAAAAGCAUCAAAUCUAAAGAAGAUUGUGAUAGCCUUCAGGAAGAUCUUGAUGCUGCUGCAAAGUGGGAAGAAGACUGGCUGAUGGCUUUCCAUCCAGACAAAUGUACAGUUCUCACAGCUUCAAAUAAGAAAAAUACAAUUAAAAAAGACUACAUCCUUCACAGUCAUACCCUAGAAUCUGUCUCCGCAGCUAAAUAUCUUGGUAUAACACUGCAAUCUGACCUUAAAUGGAACCAGCAUACAAACAACAUCAUUGGCAAUGCAAAUAAAAGUCUAGGAUUUCUAAAAAGAAAUCUAAAAACAUCAAUCACAAACAUUAAGUCCCAGGCAUACCUAGCACUUGUCCGACCAAAACUAGAAUAUGCUUGUUCGGUUUGGAACCCUCAUACUGCUGAACAAUGCAAUAAACUUGAGAUGGUUCAACGUCGGGCAGCUAGGUAUGCCUGCAAUCGUUACCACAACAC
rnacentral:lncRNA from 1 species